rnacentral:rRNA from 1 species
UACGAAAGGUCCAAGCGUUACUCGGAAUUACUGGGCGUAAAGCGCGCGUAGGCGGCCUUGUAUGUCGAUUGUGAAAGCCCCGGGCUCAACCUGGGAACUGCAGUCGAAACUGCAAGGCUUGAAUGUUGGAGAGGUUGGGGGAAUACCUAGUGGAGAAGUGAAAUUCGUAGAGAUUAGGUGGAACACCAGAGGCGAAGGCGCCUGACUGGCCAAACAUUGACGCUGAGGCGCGAAAGCCAGGGGAGCAAACGGG